AGGCAGCAGUGGGGGAUAUUAGACAAUGGGGGAAACCCUGAUCUAGCAACGCCGCGUGAAGGAUGAAGGUUUUCGGAUUGUAAACUUCUUUGACGAGGGAAGAUAAUGACGGUACCUCGAGAACAAGCCACGGCUAACUACGUGCCAGCAGCCGCGGUAAUACGUAGGUGGCGAGCGUUGUCCGGAUUUACUGGGUGUAAAGGGCCCUAUGAGCUUCCCGAGGAGUUUGCCCACCUUCAGGCGCAGGAUAUGUCCAAGAUCGGCUUCAUC
rnacentral:rRNA from 1 species